UGCAAAAGGCGAGCUGACUAUAGAAAGUGGGGGAGUGAGUGAGCGAGGCUGAGUCCCAGCGUGAGGUGAUAACAGCAACAUGACCACCAUCACAGUGCAAGUAAAUAGCUUCAGCUUUUCACCCGUUUCCAUCUCAAACAAAGGGCUGGCCUUAAACAAAGAACUCCUCAGUUCACGAGGGAGAAGACGCGACCAUGACAACGAAUUUCUCUGAAAGCAGCACAGACUCUUCCAGACGUGCAAACGGAUCGAGAUUAAAGCACCAGCAGUUGUGAUCACAGACAGGGCGAUUCGACUUUUGUUUGUGCUAAGACGAAGGCGCUUAUAAUAUUACGUUCAAUCAAGAAGACAACCCCAUAAGCUGCACAC